UGGGAACCUAAAACAAACAAAUUAUUAUGGACAUCACAGACAAAUACAUGACAUGACACAAUUAACAUAGUACCAACAUUAGUGAAAAAGAGCGGAAAGCGGAUGACAGAUUGUUAAGGCAAGCAACAUAGCGGAUGAAAUGGAGGAAAAAACGUAGAGAUUAAAUUAUAUAGAUAGAUAGAAAAUAAUAGUAAGACGAGCAGUAAGAAUUAAAGUUUUAUAUUAUGUUCCUGUACAUACUUAAUAAGGAUAGAAGUUAGGGGCGGGUCCAUUAGAGUGAGAAGUGAGUAAAAAUUAAUGGGUCGCGGAAUAUUUGAAGGUAACACAUCAUACAAAGAGUAAUUGAAUCUCGGACAAGAGAAGAAAAUGUGAUCUACGGUGCCUUCGUCUAACCCACAUUCGCACAGUGACGUAUCCCGGACCCGUAUCUUGGCAAGGAAUACAGGCGUACAAACUGGCCCUAAGCGUAAACGGCAAAUUGUAGACGUGACCCAUUUAGGGUAUGCUCGGAAUCUGAAAAACCAUGGUUUACGUGGAAUAUUGGGCUGAAUGUGGCCAUAAUGUUUUCCUACCUCCAAUCUGGAAGAAUUCCAGAGAUUUUGCCACGUGUUAAACAUAUCAGUCUGUGCAUGGUUUAAAAGGUCAGAACUGUAUAUCCUGUCGUGGCCUGGUGAUCCCAUCUCAAUAGCUCUCUUUGCCCAUAAGUCUGCAGACUCAUUUCCAGGAAUGCCACAAUGGCCCGGAAUCCACCCAAGUACUAUUUUUAACCCCUUUGAUUCACAUUUUCUUAGUAAGGUUUUGAUCUGAAGUAUUAAGGGAAAUUUUGCUUUCAUUUUAAACUGAUUGCCCAUAAUAGCUUGCAGACAACUCCUGCUAUCUGUAAAUAUGAACAUUUUUGUUAUAUUGUGAGAAUCCGCGUAUGCUACAGCUUCCAAGAUGGCAACAGCCUCGCCUGUAAAAAUUGAUGAUUGAGGAGGGCACUUAAACAUCAAGACAAUGCUAUAUUUUGGAACCACCACUGCUGCUCCAACACAAUUUGCGGAAUUAUUUUUUGAUGCGUCAGUAAACACCGUGACCAAUGAAGCAAGAGCCCGCAAGCGUGUAAUCAGCAAGUGAUUGGAGUUGGAGAUAGCUCUUAUGAGGAACCUGUCAGCAAGAUAUUGUCUACGCAGCGCCAGAGGAGGCUCCACACAUUCUACUUGCAUGGCAUUUUUUGGGGAAGAUCUCAUGGCACCAAGUAUGAUUCUUAAGCAUUUAGCCUGUAUUAAAUCCAACUUUUUUAAGGAUUCCUUAUUACAUGGUUCUAAUAUAAAGGAUCCAUAGUCCAUGUGGCUGCGGAUAAUAGCAUUAUAAAGUAGCUUUUGACAAUAUGGAUGAGAACCCCACCAAACUCCUGAUAGAGCCCGCAAAAUGUUGAUUCCUUUUUCACACUUGUCCUGUAUGUAUUUCAGAUGAGGUAUUCCACUCAUUUUCCGAUCCAAGAUGAUACCCAGGAAUUUGGUUGAUUCAUUAUUGGGAAUGCUUUCUUCACCAUAAUGAACAUCUGCAGUUGGCAUGUUCCUUUUGCGACUGAAGAUCACAGCACAGCUCUUGGAAGGUGACAAAGACAGACCAUGCUCUUCAAGCCAAUCCUUCAGAAGAGGUUCAGGAGCCGGGGAUGGAAGAACAGAUGAGGGCUUGGAAAUAACAAUGGGAAAGUGAUCGCUGCCAUAGGACUGACGAAGCACAGUCCAAGAUAACAAUGAGGCCAAAUUAGGGGAGCAAGCUGACAAGUCGGGAACGGAUUGUGGGUUCUGGCCUGGAUAGACUCGAUGUGUGGGCGAUCCGUCGUUUAUAACGCAAACAUUGAUUUCAUCGAAGAUUUCUAACAAGAGUGACGAAAACCCGUCCGAAUGGUAUGAUCCCCAAGAAAUGUUAUGUGAAUUAAAAUCGCCUAAAACUAUAUGAGGAGGAGGGACAGAGGUUAGGAUAGAAGAUAAUUCAGGAAUAAGGUCAAGGUCAGGGUGAGGAAUAUAUAUUGAAAUGAAAUUAAUGCCCAUAACCUUAGCGGCUACGGCAUUAAUUUCAUUUCCAUGAGGAGGGAGGGGAAUUUGAGAGAAGGGGUAGGAUUGCUUGAUCAACAGAGCGCAUCCUGCACGUCCAUCGACGCGGUCAUCCCGGAGGCAUGAGAAGCCCGGGAGUCUAAACCGAGACCCGGGCCUCAGCCACGUCUCCGAGAUGGCCGCGACAGACACAGAAUGGUCAUUGAUCAGCUGGAUGAGAUCUGUUUUUUUAGGAAGAAUACUCCGGCUAUUCCAUUGAAGAAAUGUGGCCUGGCGGUCCGUGGUGGUGAGGGAAGGAGAGUUUUUCUACUAGGGUCAACAUUAUAGGUGCAACGUCGUUCGGUAAUAUAUCACUCCAUUUGGCGAUGAUAUUAGUCAACAGUUUUAGGAGGAGCUCCAUGAGGUCCUCAUUUGGAGUUUCUCUGGUGUAUGAGUUAUUGAGGGCUUGUCCGUUGGGAAUUUGGGAUGGAGGGGGUCGGACUAUAUUGUUAUGGGCUUGUUGGUCAUAACCUGGGGACAAGGAAGGUCUUGACCGAGGUGACAAAAAUACUGUCUUGCGGUGAGAGGUUCUGGGAGGGGUAGAAGGUAAAUCUGUUAAGUCAAAGGUUGAUGAUGUGAUGGGGGGGAAGGUUCUCUUGUGGGGCCAAACAUUAUAUUUGCAACGUCCGCAUAGGGUCUACGACUAACAACUGGGACUUGUGUGGAUGCUUCAGCAUAUGAAAUGUUUCUUUCAGACAUUAUCAGUUUGAUGGACUUUUGUCGGUGAUGUUCUGGGCAGUUUCUGUCAGUGGCAUAGUGUCGGGCAGUGCAAAAAAUACAGGAUAUGUGUUCGGGAGCUACAUUACACCCAUCACCCGGGUGCUUUUGGGCACAUUUGUAGCAGCGGGCAUCUGAGCGACAUUGAGUCUGAAUGUGUCCAAAUCUAAGGCAUUUUCGGCAUUGAAUUGUUGGCAGUAGGUAUACUUCCACCACUAGAGAAGUAUAAUAAGCAAAUAUUCUAGAUGGCAAAGUUUGACCUUCAAAAGUAACUACUACAGUCUGGGUUGGAACCCAGGAUGGAGAUCCAUCUUCCUUAGUCACUUUCCUUUGUAGGCGACGCGCUUUCAGAAUCCUACCUUUACCUUCUAUUAAAUUUGUACCCUUAACGAAAUCAGUCAUGGACCAAUCCGUUGGAACUCCUCGAACUAGACCCAUACGAGAUAUGUUGUAUGUUGGUAUGUUUGCUGAUAGUUUGUAUUUAUCUAACAUAGGGUUUUUUAAGAUAGAGUUGGCAUCAACGGCUUUAUUGAAUGUUACUGAAACUCUAUUGCGGCCUACAGAUUUUAUCCCGUCCUUCUUAAUAUUUGUGACAUUUGCCUGUGUUAAGAGCAUACCCACAUAGAUGGCUUUCAGUGUUGACCUGGAGUCAGCAGAAGAUUCCUUUGAGAUGUGAACCACAAAUGGGCCAUCGUCGUCUGCAUUGUAUCCUCUGCCUUCUGUGUCAAGAUCAGGGUGUUUGUACAAAAGUGGGUUAGCAUUCUCAUCGCGUUGUUUAUCUACGUGGGGGUUGGUGACAUCCUCAUUUACUAUUGCUAUUACCUGUUCCGAGAUCUCUUUGUUGACGUUGGUUGUAAUUUUUUUAAGAGCCGGUUCUUGUGGGCUACUGACCGGUGAUAAGUCUAAUGUUUGCAAGUUUCUUUUUCUAGAAUUAUUUUCAAUGUCCAU